GUCCCCCUGGCGUCUGUGCCACCGGACGUCACAAAACUUCCUGGGGGUCACCUCAUACGAGGGCCCUGGCCCGCCCUCCCAGCCAGCGGCCCCUAGGGACAGAAGCGGCGGCCCAGAGGCACCUGCGGAGCUCUGUUUGGCCAGCCUCCCUCUGCCCAGUGGCACGAUGCUCCCGCGUAGACUUGAGACCUCACCGGGGGCUUGGAGGGGACAGGUAUCCUGGGGCGCAACGGGGCCGCGCGGGAGUGGGGAGGGGGGGACAGCCGGCGCUGCAGAUGAAUUACCCUUUCCCGACACCGCGCGAGCUUUUCAUCUCGUGCAUCGAAGUUGGCACUGUUGAUCAGACACGGAUUUGCUUUUGUCCUCUCCCCUUUGACUGUGGUCGCAGUUGGGCGUCUAGAAAUAGUUUCCAGUCUCCCCCCCACCCCACCCCAUCACGCCUGAAUCCUGAAAGGCGCUGGGAUAUUAGGGGGCGGCGCUGACUGGGCUAGAAAAUCCCCACCCCAGGUUGGAGCUGGGUUCGAGUGGUCGGUGCAACCCCCUAUGGCUUCUUAGCAGCUCUUUGUUGCUCCCAGGGCGCAUCGGACACGGGUUGCUUUUCCGAGACAUAAAUGGGGCCGGGGACAAGCCACAUGUCACCGAGGGGCUGUGGUGUUGAGGGACUUUUCCUGGGUCCCCUGCCCCGCUUCUGGAAAGGAGGAAGCUGGGAAGGGAAUCAGGAAGCCGGGGCUCAGGGUCACGGCCUAGGAUUGAAUCAGACCGACAGGCACAGCCAGAUUGGCAUUGUAACCAACCGUCAGCAGAGAGGGACACUUCUCUUUUCGGUUCCUGGUCUCCCUGUGCUUGGGAGGGACGGGUCUUCAGGGAACCUGAUGCGGGAAGGAAGGCGUAGCGGGCGCCUUCUACCUCUCUGUGCUGCUCUCUCUCUGCCUGUCAACCUCCUCUCCCUUCUGUCUGUCUAUGUGUCCCUCUCUCCUUCCCUCCCCCCGGGAAGCUGGGGCUGACGGAAAAGCAGGCAGUGGUUUGCAGGGCUGCAAGGUGGGACAGAAACCCAGCCCGUGCGGCGACAUCGGGAGUAGAUGGAGACGCGAGUGAACAAUGGAAAGUUGGUAGAGGACCUGCCGUGCCUUGGCACGCAGCACCGCCAAUUGUAUUUCUUUUGGGCACGCACAUGGGUCUAUUGUCAAAGGUGCCAGGGCUGGAGGCCAGGGUGGCCAGCAGGGUGUGGGCAGGCUGGUGGGCUGUCGCCGUGACCUAUUCUGGUGCCUGCGGUCACGUGGGGCCUUGUGGGCGCUACCAAGUGGGCAUGGGGUGGCCAGCCACUCCUCUUGUCCUUAAAAAUAGAAUGCCACCGCCUCUGGGGACUGAGGGGCGUGCAGGGGAGGGCGACGUCUUCCACUGGUUUUUGCCUCUUGGUGAAGAGGAUGCUUGUUCUCCAAGGAUAACUUCCUGUGGGCUGUUAUGGGAGAGCCAGACUGUGGAUGUUCACCUUGUUGCAACAGCAGGGUGUAGAGGUGUGUGUGUGUGUGUGUGAGAGAGAGAGACACGCACACACACACACACCCCCAGGUGUGUAUGCAAGAGACGGAGACUAAGCCUUAAGGAAUCCCCAGCCUUCCCCAAGCCGUCCCAAUCCUGUGUCUGAGCCACAGUGCCCACCAGCUGGAGGUCACUUCCUAAGGGGCAGUGGGCCCCAGAGAGGGGCCAGGCUGAGCUCUGCCCCUGCAGUUAGAACCUGGCCUCCUCGCUGUCCCCCGUGCCGGCCAGGCACCCGUGGGUCCCGCGUGGUCCGGGGCGCCUGUAUGCACUUCUCCAGUCGGGCAACGCGGCUCUCCUUGACGGGAAUCCAACCCACACGCGGAGCAAACCCACAACAUGCAAACACCCUGAACCUCUCUCGGCUUUUCUUUAGCAGCACCUGCGUCUUGGAACCUUCUGUCAGGAGGAGUGAGGGUGGAAGGACGCCGCUGGGCUCCGUCCUUGCUGCACGCAGUCCUACCCGUGUGUUUUGCUGUUUGCCUCACCCACUGGUGCGCUUUUGUGGUUUUCAUUCCGCACUUCUGCCUGUGAGCUGGGCACGGAGGGGAGGCUCCCGAGGCGCAGACAUGCUGAGUCACAAUCGCAGACACACGGUUUGUGGUGAUGUGGGCAUUUCAGCGCAGGUAGGACGGAGCCGGUGAAGACGCCGGGGCUUCUGCCCGACUUAGCCACGCCCGCAGUGGCUCUUAGACAGCCCACCUGUCGGGGAGGAACCCUCCGCUCAAGACCCAGCUGCAAAGGGACGGCCGAGUCCCCGGGGCGGCCCCUGGAGAUAGAAGGAGGAAAGUUGCAUACUGGGCGUCUGUGAGCAUUCUAGAUCAACCGAUUGCCCAGAAAUCCGGAUGGUUAGGAAGAAAUCUCAGCUUAGUGUUGCUGCAAAAUCUUUCAGAGCAGGGAAGCCACACUGGGGGGUGUCUGGGCUGAACUGUGAUUUCCGAGCUUGAGAAACACAGGCUCGGAGCAACCGGACGGCUCCCCGGACGGGAAAUGAUGUGCAAGCCCGUUCUCCGCACUUCUGGUCCACACGACCACGCUUGGUGUAUUCCCGUGUUGACGGACAACGUGCUGCUAAAACAAAAUAAUAGGUUUUGAGAUAAUUAUAGACUCCCGGGCCAUUCCAGAAUCCGUGCCCAGCGUCCCGUGCACCCUUCACGGAGCUUCCCUCUGUGGCGACAUCCUUGGUGACAGUAUCAGAACCAGGACGUCGGUGUCGGUACCAUCCUGCCGAGAGGUCACAGACCGUGUUCGGUGCCCCUUGGUUUUUGCAGGCUCUGCUCUGAGUGUGUGGGGGGGGCUGGAGCUGCCGUUCUGUGCAGUUUUAUCUUGUGCUGUUAUUUGGCAGCCAACACCCCCAAAUCGAGGACAGAACUAAUUCCCUCAACACAGACUGGUGGCUUCUGCCUCUCACCUGUUAUUUACUAUUGCACAGAAUGCGUUGGGCAAGUUGCAUUUCCCUUAAGACCCACGACACCUUCCUUCACAAAUGACUAAGUAUAGACGGCGCUCUCCCAGGUACUCGGAAUCGGUUUCCUCCACAGUGAUAGGGUUUUCUCCUGUGCUUUCCCCCACCAAAUUGGCCGUGGGUUCGCUCCGUCUGACCUGGGCUCUUAUUUGCCCCCAAAUAUCACACCAGCACACUUCCAGAAGGAGUGGACUUGGGAACCAGUGUGGUUUUGCUGGGCACAUAAAUGAGCGGUCGGUCAUACCGGCGGUGUUGACAUAAGCCAUUAUAAGGAAGUGCUUGUUGCUUAACAGUACACAGAAAAUUGAGAUUAUCCUUUGAUCCUGUCUGUCCGUCAGGGGCGCGCGGCAGGGUAACUUGCGAACGCAUGCGAGCGGUGGUUUCCAUUUGACAGCAUUAUGGGAACUUCAAAAAUGAGAUGACAUAUUAGAAAAGAGAGUCUUCCCAAGGACAGAAGUCCUACACGUUGUUCCCCUCCAUUUUUAAAAAAUUCAGAUAAAAUUCACCUAGCAUAAAAUGGACCCUUUUUCAGUGAGCCAUCCGUCUGAGUUUCGUACGUUCAAAAAGCUGCACGACCAGCACCUCCAUCUACUUCUGAAACAUUCUUGUCAUGUCCCCAGAGGAGACCCAGUCCCCAUGAGAUGUCACUCCUUGACCCCUUCCCCCCAGCGUCCGGUGACCAGGAAUAUGCUGUCUCCAUGGACUUACCGGUUCUGUGUGCUUCAUUCUACGAGUACUUCUUCCUUCUCCCUUGCCAUCUCCAAGGGCGUGAGGGUCCAGUGGGAAGAGAAAAGAGAACAUGGGGAGAUGCAGAGCCCAAAUUUCCCCGAUCAAGACGUAAGGGAAAAACUCACCCAAAAGAUCAGAUGGACAAACCGGGAAUAAAAAAAUGUGCAGCGGGAAUGAUGAGCAAAACACAUGCUCACAACUUCUACUGUCCUGGGGUGAGUAGAGCCCCCCUCCCCCCACCGAAUUCAUGUCCUCCCUCUCAGAACUCAAAUGGGACCUUAGUCAGAAGUAGGCUCCUUGCAGUUGCAAUUAGUUAAGGAUUGAGAUGAAGUCCAUUGUACUCGGGUGGCCCUAAAUCCAAUGACAGGUGUCCUUGUAAGAGACAGAAGAGGAGACAUAGAUACAGAAGAGAAGCCGCGUGAGGACAGAGGCAGAGACGCGGACAGGUCACAAGCCCAGGGAUGCCUGGAGCCCCAGAAGCUGGAAGAGGCAGGAAGGACCCUCCCCUGGAGCCGCUGGAGGGAGCUUGGCCCUGCCCUGCCUGGAUCUCAGCGGUCCUGCCCCGCCUGGAUCUCAGCUGCCCUGCCCCGCCUGGAUCUCAGCUGCCCUGCCCUGCCUGGAUCUCAGACUUCUGUCUCCAGAGCUGGGAGGAAGGCAUGAAUUCUUGUUGUUUUAAGCCACCAUGUGGUGGCAGCCCUGAACCACCUAAUUAGAAAACUAAUACACCUGCCAGAGAGGAUUGCAGAGCUGAUGUCUAGGCUGCUCUAGACCAUGGUGCCUUAGGUCCACGAAUUGGUUUCCCCAAAUCCUUGGAGGUGCACAACAUCCAACUACAAGUUGGAUGAUGCUUUCCAUGGGCGGCCUAAUCCUAGAGAUAGCGUGUGGAUGUGGUUAACACAGGAGAUCCAUGUGUUUAUUUUCGAAGACAGGGCAUCCGGAUCUCACUGCUUGAGGAUGGUCAUCCCCAGAGCUAGAUGGAAUAGAGCCAGGAACUUGCUCUUCUUCUGUCUCUACUUCUGCUCCAUUGCAACCAUCCCCUUCCCCCCACAAAGCAGCCAGGUGAGGCUUGCACAUGCUGUCUACUUCAUCUCAUCACUCCCUUUUGCAAAUGCACAGCUUUCCCGCAUUGCCAGACCAAGGGGGCGCCAUCUUGAAUCAGUUUUGACCUUGGGCUGCCAUAACAAAAUACCAUCAACCAGGUGGCUCAUAACACAACUUUAUUUUUCAGAGCUCUGGGGGCCAGAAGUCUGAGGUCAGGAUGGCAGAGCAUGAAUGGGCUCUGGUGAGCGCUCUCCCUGGCUUAUAUGUGGCCACCACCUUGCGCUGUGUGCUCGUAUGGUGGGAAGGGAGAUAGGAGAAGCAAGCUUCCUGGUGUCUACUAUAAGGGAACUAAGUUCAUCAUGAGGGACCCCAUUCUCAUGGCCUCGUCUAAUCUUAAUUACGGCCCAAAGACCCGCUUGCAUGUGUAAAUAAUAUUAUAUUGGGAGUUAGUGCUUCAUUGUAUGAAACCGGGGAGGGGGGCGGUGGCACAAACAUUCAGUCCACAAUACUCAGUUUUACUCCUCGUUAUGUGUUGUCCUGACUUCCUUCUCCUGAUCUCCCAUCUUUGGGGUGCAGGUGGCUGCCCUAGCAGCAGACUUCCCUCGUCUCAUCCUGGAAUCCGCAGGGGAGGACGCCUCACUCCCCGUGUCUGUCUGGGACAACCCUCCUUGUCCCUGCUUGCGUCACCCCCGUGGGUGGGGGCAUGGCACCAUGAUGGUGGUCUCAGAUCUGCUUCCUGGGUGAGUGCCUCCUCAGCUGGGGACAACCCGGGAGGCUGCCUUUGUCACUGGGAGACAUGAACACGUCCUGGGUGCCAGCAAGCGUUGCCGCUUGGGUUCACUGAUGAUGAUUCUGACCGCAGUGUUCUUUCUGAGAGAUUAACAUGUUAUGAUUUCUCUGAAAACCACUUUCAGUCUCUGGGAGGGACACUGUGGGGCUCUCUCUGUAUUUCCCCCAAGGUUUUUUUUCAGAUAACCACAAUGUCAUGACCUUCACCACCCUUGGGAGACUCAUCUUUUCCUUUAAGAUUUUAUUUGACAGAGAAACAGCGAGAGAGGGAACACAAGCAGGGGGGGUGGGAGAGGGAGAGGCAGGCUUCCCGCCGAGCAGGGAGCCCGAUGUGAGGCUCGAUCCCAGGACCCCGGGACCAUGACAUGAGCCAAAGGCAGGUGCUCAACGACUGAGCCACCCAGGCACUCCUCAUUUGUUUCUUUGGAACUCUAUACCUGCUGUUUCUUGGUGGGAAGGGGAGUAAAGUACUGGAUAACUAAGGUUGGCGGCCUCGUGAUUGUAGACGGGGUGGGGGCCAGGCAGAGUACUGUCCUCUCCCUUGAUCUCACAAGGAUGUGCACAAGGGGAGCUGGCUGCUGGCGUUUGGGGUUUUCUGCGCCCCUUCUCGGCACCGUCUGCUAACUGUUGGCAGCACGGCAGUCCCCUGCCCUGUGUCGUCGUCCUCCCCCGUGGUGCUCGUGUUGUGCAGUGGGGCAGCAGGGUGGGGGCGGAGACGUCUCCGGGGCUGUUUGCUCGCUGGUGUCUUUUGGCAGGGGUCGUUCCUUUCCCCAGGAUCACAUGGCUCGCCAUGACAUCUCAGUGCCUCGCUGCAGAGCUAAUGGGUUGUAUCGUGAUGUUCGGCAUGGCCCCUGUGCCAUAGAGGGUGGCUGCCCGUAAUGCCAUCAUCCAUUCAUUUAUUCACUCCUACAUGGGCCGGUUGGCGUGUCCCCGCUGGGCCGGGACCUUCCCGGAAAGCCUGUAAGUCCCCCGUGUUGGGAAAUCCCCAGGCCCAGGCACCUCAGGACGGUAGUUGUCCCUGCUCACGCUGGAUACUGGGGAGCAGCUACUGAACGCCAGCCUGCUCUCUGGACGUGGCAGGUCAUGGGGAACUCAACACAGGGGUCCCUGCUUCUUGAGUUUACGUUAGGCUGAGAGAGGUGGAUGGUGGGUACGGGGUGUGACACAUGCAUUUGGUGGUUGCUUCGAAGGCCGUCAGAAGUCUGGGGAGCACAGAGCAGCGCCGUGGGGAUUGGAGCAAUAGCUAUCCGAGAAGGGGUCGGGGCACGCUGCCAUGUGCGGGAGGUUACGGGGUCUGCCCUUCCCAGCAGGAGAGGUUUGGUCAAGUCUUGGAAGAUGAGGAGGGGGCUAGCCGUGGGGACACCCUAGGAGGACUGUGGGCACAGUGGCUGCUUCUCAGCUUUGAGCGGCAACAGUAUCCCCUGCAGGGCAUGUGUGAACACAGAUGGCCGGCCCACCCUACAGACUGACACCCCAGGAUGGAGAGGGGCCUGAGACUCUGCAUUUCUAACCAGCCCCCAUGCUGCUCCUCUUCUGCAAUGCGCUUUGGAGCUACAGGGUGACCUCAGAGCCCACCGGGCAUGUGCUAGAAGCUCUCAGAAGGUUCCUGUGGCUGGUGUGGGACGGAGCAAGCAGAGACGUGAAGAUGCAGAGCUUCCCUGCAGGGCUUGUGAUGUGUGUGUCCUCAGGUCGGCUUUCCUGGAUGCGUGUUCAAGGAGAAAGUCCUCGAGGAGGCGUCCGUGAAGGGCUCAGACCCACAGUGGUGGAGGUGGUCCUUCGCCUGGAUGUGCUUCUCCACAUACCUUGGCAGGUGCGUGUUGUGUUUUAUUCCGUCCUUUGAGGAUGAGUGGGGAGCUUCAGCCUGGAGCACCUGUGUCUCCUGUCCUUUGUGCAUCAACCAGGAAGUAAGCAUGGCCUCACCAAAGCAAGCUUCGCCAUCAUCAUCAUCAUCAUGAUGACCGUCCAGUCCCAAGCAUAGUGGAGGUUCAUCACUUCAGGGAUGGAUGGUGGUGGUAUUUGCUUGGAUUUGGAGCUUAUUCCGUUCAGUAGACCUGGAGUCUUCUGGCUAGGCUUGUCUUGAGGCUGCUGAGAGCCUUCACCUCCCACCCCACCCCUGCACGGGACACCUCCUUCUGCUAGCUCUGGGUUUUGGGAGUCAGGGUGCAGGGCAGGGUCCCAGAGGCACUCCCCUGCAAGGUCAUGUUCACUUGUUCUCCUGCUGUGAUCUCUCUCAUGGACUUUCUCCCCAUAUUGCUCUCCUAUGGCUGCUCUAACAAAUGACCCCAGGCCUAGUGGCUUAAAACAACAUGCAUUUUUUAAAUCCCGCAGCUCUGCAGGUUAGGGUGGUGGGUGUUAGUGGGUCAACAUCAAGGAUCAGCAGGGCUGCGUUCCCUUCCAGAGGCUCCGGGGGUCCUUGCUUCCUACAGCUUCUAGAUGUCGUCGCCCUUCUUCGGCUUAGGAUGCCUUCAUCCUUCUGUGGGGACAGCAGAGUUGGGUCAGAUCCUUCUCAUGCUGCCAUGUCUCUGUCUAUGGUUCUUUCACCCCUCCCUCUCUUGUGACGCUUGUAAGGACUCACCCGCAUCACCGAGGACCAUCUCCGUAUUUCAAGUCAACUACUGAGCAUUUGUAAGUAGCACCUGGAACAUCGGUUCUCCCUUAAACUAACAUAGUCACAGGGUCUGGGGAUUGGGAUGUUGACGCCUUUUGGGGGGGAGGCGUUGUUCUGUCCACGGCACCUGCUUCCUGUGUGUGCUUUGCAUGCCUCACCUUAGAAGUGGCUUCUAAGAGUGGGCUUCAGAGAGUAGUGUUGGGUGCGGUGGGGUGGGGAGGGCGGCUGCACUUGUCCAACUACACUGGCUUUCGUCAACGGACAAACCACAUUAACGAUAAAAAGCUCUUCCAUUAGGAGGAAAGAUGCUAGCUCCGACUAGCUAUGCAUACGGCUGUAAGGUGUGUGUGUGAGAGAGAGAGAGACACAGAGACAGAGGUGGGAAGACAAGUGAUUCAUUGAGUUAACUGAGCAGCUCACACCUGUCCCCUCCUCUGCCUGGCCAGAAUCCUGUACGAGGACUCAUUGCCCCCUCUCUGGGACCCGUCCCCUGCACUGGGCAAGCAGAACCAGCUCUCAUGUUACAAGGAGCCCCGGACAUGGGAUGGCUCAAAGCUGGGAAGGCACAGCUUUACCUUCUGGAAGCUUGAGUCCGGGCCCAAAUGCACAGUCAGAGGGGAGGCUCUGAACCGGGCCUGGGGUGCUCUGUCCAGGUCACCACAUGGCAUCCCAGAAGCAGAACUUGUAUCCACCUGGAGGAUCGAGAUAAGGAACACAGACACAGGAUUGUUUGCAAGGAGUCUCGAGCUUGUUGAUUAAUUAGGUAACACAUGCGCUUUUUUUUUUUUUUGGUAAACUUGGCAGGCUCUUUUCUGAGAGAGCUCGUGCAAGACUAAUAAAACCAACACAAUGAAAGCUUCUAAGCAGCUCAUUCUGGGAGCGUUCUCCCUUGCUUCUCAUGGGUAGGGAUCUCCGAUUGUAUGCUGGGCGGGGUGGACAGGAGGGUACACUUUGGCUUCACCAUUAGGGCACUUAGAUAGGAGUCCAGUUGGCAUUUGGAGUACAUCUGAAUAGCACAAAACGUGAUAGAUACCUCUCCACCGAGGCAUUUGAAGUUGUCCAGUGAUUUCUCCAUGGAAGCAUCCUGAGUUUCCAAGGCGGAGUGCCCCGUAUCGAGGGUGGAAGUGGGUGCGUGUUCCAGGGGGAGAUUCCUUCCUCCUGCUCCCCAUGUGCCCUGAGGAGGCCAAGUGGAGAUUCUUCAGGGUGGGAGGCCCCCACAGCCCUGAGCGUCCCGUGUCCCAGUGUAGGAGUUAACUGUAGGACACCUCUGAGUAGUCCUUCUGGACCCUUAGCUCAGCUCAGGUGUCCAGUGGCCCCCACCCCCAACACCGGUUUGCACCUUCCCACCCUGUUCAGUAUAGGCAGCCUGCCAAGGCUAGAUCCCAGGCGUCCCGGGACCCUGCCUAACUGGGCAGUUCCGUGUUUGAGAGAAACAUGCACCUUGGGCGCAGUGUCUUCUGUGUUGACCUUGCUUAACCCCACUUCCACGCUUGGAAAUCCAUACUGGUUUUUCCAGCAGGUAACAGAAGGAGGAGACUGUCCCACAGACUCCUUGCUGAAAUCAGCACGAGGUCCCAGCAGGGAAUCACACCCAAUGUCACGUGGGCAGGUGUCGUGGGCAGGCGUUAAGAGUCCUUGUCUUGAGGUGGUUGGUUUGCAAACAGUUCUGAUGAAGCAGCUCAUCAAGGACGUUUGCAGGGCAACCUCUAGAGAGUUCUUUUAAAGUGGUUGACGAUUAAUUUGGUGGAUGAUUUCAUCCCGCUGGAUCAUUAUCUUGGGAGCCACUCCACAGAACAAAGGGCUGUGCAGAUGUGGGGCUGGGUGUGGCUGGACAACAGCCCGGGCUCCGGAGAAAGAAGGUCUUUGUCAUGCCUGGGGCCCCCCCGGGAUGUGAGCGGGGAGGGCAGCCAGAAGCGGGGCUGGGUGUGCGCCCAAGCGUGCAUGCGUGUGGCUGUGUGUGCUCACGUUGGGGGCGUGUCUCUGGGCAGUCCCCCAGGAGGAUACUGAGCCAGCCGAAUGUUUGCGGACAACUCCAGAGGAGGAAAUCAUUCUGCAGAGAUCGAAAAUCCAGGAAGGGCAUUAAGAAGGCAAACUGCCUAGAAUGUUCUCUUCUCGGGCACUGGAUUCCAUUAUCAUUCCACCUUAAGAAAAAAGCAAUAUGUGUAGAAAAAUAAAAUCGGGAACGACUCCCUAUUCCCUGCACACUCGAGCAUAGUUGUUGUCAGGUAUUUGACUUAGGAAGACUUUUCUUUGCUCGGUCCUUAAACAGUUCAGUAUUUUAUUUUGAUGACAGAAUCUGGAGUGUCCAUUGUAUUGGUCUUUUCAAAGAACCAGAGUCUUCUUUCUUUGAUUUUUUUUUUUUUUCUUCUCUUUUCUUUCUCCUCUGUUGAUUUCCUGUUCUUCAUUUCACUGAUUUCUGCUUUCAUUUUUGGUCUGUCUUCUGCUUGCUGGUCUGGUCUUUCCCUGAUUUUUCUUCCUACAGUGUGUGAAGAACACAGGUCACCAGUCACCUGCUGCGGAAGCGUGUCUCCAGAAUGCGCUGCAUUUCAGGAUGGCUGCUCUGAGUUCUGGGGGCUUGUCUUCCUUCAAAAGGAAAAUCUGGGGACACCUGGGUGGUUCAGUGGGUUAAGCGUCUGCCUUCAGCUCAGGUCAGGAUCCCAGGGUCCUGGGAUCGAGUCCCUCAUUGGGCUCCCUGCUCAGCGGGGAGUCGGCUUCUCCCUCUCUGCUGCUCCCCCUGCUUGUGCUCUCUUUCUGUCUGGCAAAUAAAUAAAAACUUAAAAAACAUAAAAAAGGAAAAGUUGAGUGACGUUGCAGUGCAGAUUGAGCGCAGUCUGGGUGUUAACUAGAGAAUGCUACACAGAGGUUGGGAUGCUCUCGGCAAAGCCAUCAGUGGGAAGGUUGGACAGGUGGCUGCAUGGUCUGGAUUCUUCACUUCCUGUAUCAUCAGGUGGGGGUUCCCGACUUUUGUGAAGGUGAAAACCUACUUCUUCAUUUAGUGGAUCACUUACUCUGUGGCGUGCUUUUCCCCUUGCCUUCAUUAGUGCAUGGGACGGGUGCACGCGGUAGUGAAUGGAACAUACACAGGCGUGCACACACCCAUAUACAGUGAAAGGUGUUUUGGCUGUUUGGGUGGCAACCCUUGAAAACACUUGCAAACACUGAUUCUUGAGAUUCUGGCACACAGUGCGCUUAAACCGGAGACUGGCUGCCAUGUUGUUUGGGAAAACAACCUCCUUUUCCAAAGCUUGCUGCCCGCCCGGUGUUCUUGACGAGUGGGUGGAACAGCUAGUUCCCAGCUCUGCUCCAGAAGCUGGUUUGUCAAUUAUUCCUCCCUAACGUCAUUUUUCCAGAAACAGUGUCACAUACCACAGUUGGGGUUCCAGGCUCCUUAAUUUGUUAGCAUAGUAAAGAUGCCUUACCUGUAAGGAGCAUCACAUGGCGCUAGGAAAACGUAAAACACGAUUCUUAUGAAAGUUGGGGUUCCAGGCUCCUUAAUUUGUUGGGGUUCCAGGCUCCUUAAUUUGUUAGCAUAGAAAAGAUGCCUUACCUGUAAGGAGCAUCACAUGGCGCUAGGAAAACGUAAAACGCGAUUCUUACGAAAGUAGCGAUUCGGCAAAGGAAUAACUCAGUCGUGGGAGAAGCAGCAGUGUUGGAUGUGGAUGGUUGACAGAAGGCAGGUUUCCCAUAGAGGAGGCAAUAAGACAGGGGGAGCGGUUCAUCAGGACUCUUGAGGAAUCUGGAUAGUGUCUCUUAAUUGACUUUAGUUUUUCUGGCGUUGAACUUCGCAUCCCAAAGGGGUGGCAUGUAGUUGUUGGAUACGGGUCUGACUUUUCACGGACCCACCACGAUCAGGCUCACGUGGAAAUGUGCCUUGGGUCAAGAACAUGCUGUGUGGCUCCAGCCGGGCGAGAGUCAGGCACGGGACGUAGCAGAUGGACCCUUUCCUUGUCUUCUUGGUUCGUGUUGGGAUCCCAACGUGCUUGCCGCGUACCUGGCUCACCUGCAUGAUGAGAAGAUGAAGGAUGGACUCUUACCCUAAUGUAGGGACAUGGGAGAUAGUUUCCGGUUCCUCUCUUGGACCCUCAGGCCCCUUCCCUCCCGAAGCCUCCUGGGGGAUGAUGCAGGAGCGCCGUAGUCAUUGGGGAAGGAGGAUUGAGCGGUGGGAACUGGAUAUCCCUGGGGAUGGGGAGGGAAGGGUGGAGGGAGAUGGUUAGAGGGAAGCACAUUUUCAUCAUGUUGUCCAAGGGCGCCUUGGAUCCUAGAGGAAAAGUUGUGGCUUGAAGCGGGAACCCUUAGGAACACGGAAAGGAAGGCUUUCUACAUCUGACUGCGAUAUAUCUGGGAACACGUUCUUCACUCAAGACGUCAUGAUGCCCGGAUUUAGUACAUGGCGCUGUGACAUGAUCACAGAGUAAGCACCAUACGAGAAUGAAAAAGCACAUCGUACAAGCUUACAAACUAAGCACUUGUGUCCUUUGCAGAGCAGAAACUAAAAACACGCUAAACCUACGUCUUUAUCGUGUUUGGAGAAUGGUGCCGUGUGCAAAACAUUCCAUUUAACGCCUCUUGAAAGACUUUGUUGGUUGCAUGAUGGGUUGCGACAGUGAGCUCAUCGCUGAAUCCAAGUAGUUCUCCAAGUGGGGGCCGGGGACCCAUGGCGUUCCCAGGGAAACUUCUGGGGAGCUCAUGGGGUCAAGCGUCCUUUUGUAGUACCAUGAAGAUAUUAUCUGUCCUUCUCUCUCUUUCUCUCUCUCUCUCUCUCUCUCGCCUGGGCGUGUGGUGGUUUCCGGAGGCUCCCUGAGCUGGGACGGUACCACCUCUGACCAUCAGUGGAGUGUCCUUGCCCGCUGUUGUGUUUUAGACAUUUCUGCUUUCCUUGCUAAUAUGGUUACUAUCUCCAGAGAGUGACGCCCACGAGCAAACAGACAUUGGUUACGAUCCUCCAUCUGUGUCUGAAGAUCUGUGCCAAAGAAUCUUGAGAUCAGGGAGUUUGAGAACUGCUGUUUUAAACCAAUGACCUGGUCUAAGAGGGUCUUGAUUGAGCACCAACAGUGACUGAUUCAUGGUGAUUCCUGUAUCCAGAGGGUCUUCAGAGAAUGAACUGCCUCAUUGUGCCCCGAGAACGAGGCUUGAAUUCUCAUUUUUCAUCUUGCUCCACCCAAGUGAAGUGGUCGCUUUGUUCAAAAUUGAAUCCUACUAAUUGCAUUGCUUCUUUGGAAUUCUGGAUGUCCCCAUCGCAAUGGGGGUUUGGGUUAGCUUCGCAAAGGCAUCAUUUAGACUGUUCUGAAAGUGGUUAUUAGCACAUCCCAUGUGCAAGGAGCUGCAGAGUUUAUCUGGGGGACAUAAAAAGAUGGGAUGCAGUUUACAUUUCCAAGAAUCUUACUGAUACAAAUAACUAAGAAAAGGUCAGUGUGUUAAGGAUUAUAAUCAAGGUGUCAAGAAGGAACUAAGAUCUGAUAGCAGAUGUUCUGGGCUGAGUAGGGUUUGGGUAAACACAACUGGGGAGGAAGCGUGCAGCUUCUGGGCGUUUCAGGACCUAGUUCUCCUAAUGCUUUCGCUGUCAGAGCCCCCAGCCUCACUCACAUACGGCAACUUUCUGAGUCACUCUUUCUGGUAUCCGUCUCAUCCUUAAAUGGGAAGAGACCGCAAACCCGGUGUUUAUCAGGAGGUUACACUGUGUGAGGCAUCGAGAUAAGUAAAGACAUGUGAUCCCAGGAAAAGCAGAUAAUUCAAGGCGCCUAAGAAAAGACCGAUUAAAACAAAAAGAGGAACACAGGAGACAUUUAAAAAAUAAGUCUUACUAUGAAGCGGGGGAAAUCGGAGGGGUGGACGAAGCAUGAGAGACGAUGGACUCUGAAAAACAAACAGGGUUCUAGAGGGGAGGGGGGUGGGAGGAUGGGUUAGCCUGGUGGUGGGUAUUGAGGAGGGCACGUUCUGCAUGGAGCACUGGGUGUUGUGCACAAACAAUGAAUCAUGGAACACUUCAUCUAAAACUAAUGAUGUAAUGUAUGGGGAUUAACAUAAGAAUAAAAAAAAUAAUAAAAAAUAAAAAAUAAGUCUUACUUUGAGUCCUGUUUUCAGGGAAGUUUGAGAAGAUACCAUUCCCGUCAACAAAAAUAGGAUGUGACAGCGAAAGAGAAACAGUUUUAAAUGGGAUUGCUGAAAAUGUAAAUAAUUAAAAAAGAAAAUUCCCCCAAAUCAAAGGGUUCUCUUGUUCAUGCCUCUGACUUCAGUUAUCACCGUGGAGGUGUUGGCUCCCCGAUGUGCAGCUCAGAUCUAGACCUUUCUCUUGGGUGAGCACUGGAGGGCAUGUCUCCAGAGCAAUACCUGUUGGGAGGUCCAUGUCUCCCUGAAAGCUAGGAGGCCCAUUGUCAUACCUUCCUAUGGCUGUCCUAACAAAUCUCUGCAAAUCUGGAGGCUUACAAGAACAGAAAUUUAUGCUCCCACAGCUGUGGAGACCAGAGUUUGAGAUCCAGGCGGGGCAGGACCACUGAGAUCCAGGUGGGGCAGGGCCGCUGAGAUCCAGGUGGGGCAGGACCACUGAGAUCCAGGUGGGGCAGGGCCAUCUUACCUUCCCAAGGCUCCAGGGGAGGGUCCUUCCUGCCUCUUCCAGCUUCUGGGCUCCAGGCAUCCCUGGGCUGGUGGUCGUGUCCCUCCCAUCUCUGCCUCUGUCUUCACGUGGCUUCUCCUCUGUGUCCGUGUCUCCUUUUCUAUCUCUUACAAGGACCCUUGUCAUUGAAUUUAGGGCCACCCUGAUCCAGGAUGACCUCUUCUUGAGAUCUUUGACUUUAUUACAUCUGCAAAGAUGCUGUUUCCAAAUAAUACCACAUUCACAGUACUAGGGUUCAGGACAUGGACAUACCUUUCUGGGGGGGACACAGUUCAACCCACUACACCCUUCAUCCUCGACAUGCCCACAGGGUGCCACAUGGAACUGUUGAACCUUCUUCCCCCAAACCAAACAACUCAGCAGAUCCCUUGCACACCUGCCAGGGUUUCUGGUCACUAACUGCUCAGAUGCUGAACACCCCCCCACCCCCACAUUCUUGUCCACCCUCCCUCUCCUGGCCUCACCCAGCUCGUCUUCUUGGCUCUGCAUCUCCCUGUCACCACCCGCUCUUCACCCUUGGCUCUAGCCUCCGUCCUGAUUUCUACCACAGCCCUCAUACUACUGCCCUGGCUCUUCCUCGCACUGGCUUCUCCUCUGACAUGGACAUCUUUAAAGCAAAACAAAAGCAUGCAGAAACCAAAGCCGUGACACACACAGGCGUUUCCUGGUGUCAUUGUGUGAUUCCCUGCUGCCCUUGGCAUGAAGAACUCACUCAAAGGGUUUCACAGUGCCUCCCUUCUCUUGCUUUGCUCCCUAGUAUUUCCUCCCUGCUCCCAAAUCCCAGUGCUGUGUGGCUCCUGCCUCAUAUCCUUUACUUCUUCCCAAUCACCCUACAAAGUAGCCUUCAGUCUGCCCCACUCUCCAGUGUCCAUUUGAAACUUCCUCAAAAGGAAACGUCUUGGGCGCCCAGGUGGCUCCGUCGGUGAAGCGUCUGCCUUAGGCUCAGGUCAUGAUCCCAGCGUCCUGGGAUCGAGUCCCACAUCGGGGAGUCUGCUUCUCCCUCUGCCCCUCCCCUCCGUUCAUGAUCUCUCUAUCACUCUCUCUCAAAUAAAUAAAAUUCUAAAGAAAAAUGUCUUUUCUGACCCUUAACCAAAGUAAGGUCCAUUCGUUUCUUCCUCUACACACCUGUCUUACCAAGUCAUCAAACCUGAGCAAGCUCCUGAAACCCAGAUGAGCUCAUCAAUGUUCUUAGAGCUAUUAUAAUUAAUGCUUACUGUCUACCUUUCCGGCCCGAUUGUAACUAACCGCAGUGAAUGUGGGAACCAGCCUUAUGUUCAUUGCUGCUUUGGAGUCCUACAAAACACCUGACACACAGUCAAAUACCAUUAGCGGGGGAAAGAGUGCCGAACCUCAUUAUAUUGACUGGGUCUUCGUUCAGAGAGUGAGGUCAUAUUCAUUCCACGGACUGCCUGACUCAUUUGUGGUCAAAGAUGGAGUUUUCUAAAUAUUUCUGACCUGGCAGUUGACCCUGAUAACAAGAACUGAGUGUGAGCUGAAUGGUAGAACUUUAAAGCUGUCCAAUAUGGUGGCCGCUAGCCCCAUGGAAUACAAUAAGGGUAUUGUCUCAGGAGCUGCAUUUCUUUUCUUUUCUUUUUUUUAAAGAUUUUAUUUAUUUAUUCAUAAGAGACAGAGAGAGAGAGAGGCAGAGGGAGAAGCAGGCUUCCCGAUGCGGGGCUCUAUCCCAGGACCCUGGGAUCAUGAUCUGAGCCGAAGGCAGACGCUUAACCAUCUGAGCCACCCAGGCGCCCUCAGGAGCUGCAUUUCAAAUCCUCAGGAGCCCCCUGUGAGCGCGUAACUACUGAGUGGACAGCGGGAUGUAGAAGGUUCCUGCCCCAUGGAAAGUUCUUCUGGGCAUUGGGUCCUAACUGGGGGUGAUUCUACCCCCACUGGACACUUGGCAAUGUCUGGGCAUUGUUGAUGCUCAUAACUGGAGUUUGGGAGGCCGGGAUGAGGGCAUUUGGUGGAGGAAACUCUGCCUUAGCGAGAGAGAUUCUCUCAUUUGUCUGUCCCUCCAUCCCUCCAUCCCUCCCUCCCUACCUCCCGCCAUCCCUCCAUCCAUCCCUCCCUCCAUCCAUCCCUCCAUCCCUCCAUCCAUCCCUCCCUCCAUCCCUCCCUCCCUCCAUCCCUCCAUCCCUCCAUCAUUCAUCCAUCCCUCCAUCCAUCCCUCCAUCAUUCAUCCAUCCCUCCAUCCAUCCCUCCAUCAUUCAUCCAUUUAUGCAUCCAUCUAUCAUCCAUCGAUCAUCCCUCCACCCAUCCAUCCGUCCGUCAUCUGUCAAUCAUCUGUCAUCUUAUCAUCUGGCUGUGUGUGGCAUUUCAAGGGUGACAGUGACAUUCCAUCCCAUCCUGGAUGCAGUGUAGGGCUGCGUCUUUAACCUGGCCAGCUUUUAUUGGGAACGUGUGAAGACCCACCUUUGUUCUUUUUGGUGAAGCCUCACGGGAGUGACAUUCAGAGCUGCAGAUAUCGUGCUUACAGGAACACCAAAGCUGAGCCAGGAAUUCCAGGCAUUUCCCUUGUGGGACAUCUGCUUGUGUUGGGGGUGGGCGAGAACUUCCUGUGUUUCUUUAUUCCUUUGGGAUUAUCCGUUCUGUAUCUUUGAUAGGGGACAGGGUAAUUCAGUAAAUAACUUGUAAAUAGGAGAGUUUUGGUUCCAAAAUGUCUCUUCUAUUUUUAUCUUUUAAAACAGGACAGUGUGAAAUCGAAUGUUGCUUGACUCAGCAAAAUUUUGAGGGCGUUAUUUGUUUAAAAAAGCCAAAAAGCCAUCUAGACAAGGAAACUCACAAAACAGCCCCCCUCCCACCCAGGGCUGAGUUGAAUUAGGACCAGUUUUUUUUAGCUGAUCUUUGAAGUAUAUA